rnacentral:lncRNA from 1 species
AAACGGUGUCGCCUGGCAAAGACCCCUGCCCUAAAAGCCAACUUCAUUUCACCCAGACAAGGAGCCUGUGCCUCAGUUUCCACAUCUGUAAAAGAGAAUAAUCCACCCUUCCAUGUACCAGUUUGAGACACCCAACAUUUUAGACGGUCUACAAAAGCCUACCCAUAUCAUGGAUCAGUCUGUGCUGCAUCCCCACCAAGGAGGAGCCGGAGGACAAGCUUCCCAGCGCGUUUCAGCAGAGAGGAAAUAGAUAAGAAAUUAGGAAAAGAAAAUCRAGAAAGAAAUUAAAUAGUCACCAAGGAAAGCAGAGGAAAGGGGGGRAAAUCAAGGAAUUUGGACUACGAACAUGCAGCUUGGCUGCUUGGGGUUGUUACUGGGUGAAACGCCCUGCAAGCAGGCUGGUCUUCAGCGGAGCCACCUCAGUCAGAGCCGAAGCCAGGGCUCUUCGCAGCCCUGCACCCAUGGGUGGGGGGCAGCAAUCGCCCCGAGAGCAGGGGAAGCUCCCUGGGGGMGUUUGGAAAUGGCAGCUGAGCAAGGGGCUCUCGCGGAUCCGUGCCAAGCUGCCGCCCACAGCGCCCACGGGCUGGGUUGGAGCUGUCGCCCUCCAAACCACCCGGCUUCGGCCACCACCAGCGACGUGACAUCGGAGCAAAGCACCAACCGGGCUCCGACGUUGCAAGCUCUGUGUUCCAGAUCCGCUGCAAACAGCGGAGGGCAACAUUUUGCUUCCUGGAAACACAGAGAAAGAAGUGUUUUUCCUGAGAGCUGCGGCUCACAGGCAACCUGGAAUGGAGAUUUCAGAAAACUGGGUGUUCACUCUUCCAUCUCCACUGCGAAGACAAAGGCUUGGCAGACGGUGGUGGWGCUUCGCAGGGGUUUUAGCUGUGAUUUUCUUUGGGAGCCGGGUAUACAAACCCCUUCCUCUCAUUUUCCCCUUUACCAGUUCGAGCAAAGCGAAAUCUGCCCGUCCCUAGGAUGCCCCAACUUCCCAGAGCCCACGUACUGUCUCUUCACACAGGCUGACUUAGAGACCUGGGGCUGUUCAGCCUCCAACAAAGAGCUCCUUUCUCCCAAACAUUCGCCAGUCAUCGGAGUUAAAGAGGCUGUGCUGAAACCAAAGCAAACAAAGCCCCUGCAAAGCCAGCUCCGAAUCCCCRUCCCCUCUCCAGCGCGCUCGAUUCCCUGGGACGCUGUGGAGUGCUCCGGCCGCGG